rnacentral:rRNA from 1 species
UACGUAGGUGGCAAGCGUUGUCCGGAUUUACUGGGUGUAAAGGGCGUGCAGCCGGGAGGACAAGUCAGAUGUGAAAUCCACAGGCUCAACUUGUGAACUGCAUUUGAAACUGUUUUUCUUGAGUACCGGAGAGGUCAUCGGAAUUCCUUGUGUAGCGGUGAAAUGCGUAGAUAUAAGGAAGAACACCAGUGGCGAAGGCGGAUGACUGGACGGCAACUGACGGUGAGGCGCGAAAGCGUGGGGAGCAA